rnacentral:misc_RNA from 1 species
GAUGAAGAACGUAGCGAAAUGCGAUAAGUAAUGUGAAUUGCAGAAUUCAGUGAAUCAUCGAAUCUUUGAACGCACCUUGCGCUCUUUGGUAUUCCGAAGAGCAUGCCUGUUUGAGUGUCAUGAAAAUAUCAACCUUGACUUGGGUUUUGUGCUCUAGUCUCGGCUUGGAAUUGGGUGCUUGCCGCUUUUACGAGCGGCUCACCUUAAAUGUAUUAGCUGGAUCUGUCUUUGAGACUUGGUUUGACUUGGCGUAAUACGUAUUUCGCUAAGGACAUUCUUCGGAGUGGCCUCGUUUCUAGGACGCUUGUCCGCUUUCCAAUACAAGUUCCACCUCGUGGACAUGACUUUUUAUUAUCUGGCCUCAAAUCAGGUAGGACUACCCGCUGAACUUAAGCAUAUCAAUAAGCGGAGGA